CAGCCGCCACGGGAAUACAGAGGGUGCGAGCGUUAAUCGGAUUUACUGGGCGUAAAGCGUGCGUAGGCGGCUUCUUAAGUCGGAUGUGAAAUCCCUGAGCUUAACUUAGGAAUUGCAUUCGAUACUGGGAAGCUAGAGUAUGGGAGAGGAUGGUAGAAUUCCAGGUGUAGCGGUGAAAUGCGUAGAGAUCUGGAGGAAUACCGAUGGCGAAGGCAGCCAUCUGGCCUAAUACUGACGCUGAGGUACGAAAGCAUGGGGAGCAAACAGGAUUAGAGACCCCAGUAGUCCCUGUCUCUUAUAC
rnacentral:rRNA from 1 species